rnacentral:rRNA from 1 species
CCUACGGGGGGCAGCAGUGAGGAAUAUUGGUCAAUGGGCGCAAGCCUGAACCAGCCAAGUCGCGUGAGGGAUGACGGUCCUAUGGAUUGUAAACCUCUUUUGUCGGGGAGCAAGGCCCGCCACGUGUGGCGGGAAGGAGAGUACCCGAAGAAAAAGCAUCGGCUAACUCCGUGCCAGCAGCCGCGGUAAUACGGAGGAUGCGAGCGUUAUCCGGAUUUAUUGGGUUUAAAGGGUGCGUAGGCGGAAGGUUAAGUAGGCGGUAAAAUGCCGGUGCUCAAAACCGGCCUGCCGUUGAAACUGGUCUUCUUGAGUGAGCGAGAAGUAUGCGGAAUGCGUAGUGUAGCGGUGAAAUGCAUAGAUAUCACGCAGAACUCCGAUUGCGAAGGCAGCAUACCGGCGCUCAACUGACGCUGAGGCACGAAAGCGUGGGGAUCGAACAGGAUUAGAUACCCCGGUAGUC